UGCGGGAUGGUGUAAUGGCAGCACCAACGACUCUGACUCGUUUUGUGAGGGUUCAAAUCCUUCUCCCGCAGCCA
rnacentral:tRNA from 1 species